UAGGGAAUCUUCGGCAAUGGGGGGAACCCUGACCGAGCAACGCCGCGUGAGUGAAGAAGGUUUUCGGAUCGUAAAGCUCUGUUGUUAAGGAAGAACGAGUGUGAGAAUGGAAAGUUCAUACUGUGACGGUACUUAACCAGAAAGGGACGGCUAACUACGUGCCAGCAGCCGCGGUAAUACGUAGGUCCCGAGCGUUGUCCGGAUUUAUUGGGCGUAAAGCGAGCGCAGGCGGUUAGAUAAGUCUGAAGUUAAAGGCAGUGGCUCAACCAUUGUAGGCUUUGGAAACUGUGUAACUUGAGUGCAGAAGGGGAGAGUAGAAUUCCAGGUGUAGCGGUGAAAUGCGUAGAGAUAUGGAGGAACACCGGUGGCGAAAGCGGCUCUCUAGUCUGUAACUGACGCUGAGGCUCGAAAGCGUGGGGAGCGAACAGG
rnacentral:rRNA from 1 species